AUUGGAUGAAUGAUGUUUAAAUUACUGUGUUAUCUAUCGGCAAUUUCCUAUCAAGGAAUUGAAGACGAUUAUAGUUGAUUGAGAUCUAGU